GACGAACGCUGGCGGCGUGCUUAACACAUGCAAGUCGUACGGUAAGGCCCUUUCGGGGGUACACGAGUGGCGAACGGGUGAGUAACACGUGAGUAACCUGCCCACAACUUUGGGAUAACGCUAGGAAACUGGUGCUAAUACUGGAUAUGUUCUCCUGCUGCAUGGUUGGGGUUGGAAAGCUCCGGCGGUUGUGGAUGGACUCGCGGCCUAUCAGCUUGUUGGUGGGGUAGUGGCCUACCAAGGCGGCGACGGGUAGCCGGCCUGAGAGGGUGACCGGCCACAUUGGGACUGAGAUACGGCCCAGACUCCUACGGGAGGCAGCAGUGGGGAAUAUUGCACAAUGGGCGCAAGCCUGAUGCAGCAACGCCGCGUGCGGGAUGACGGCCUUCGGGUUGUAAACCGCUUUCAGCAGGGACGAAGCUUUUUGUGACGGUACCUGCAGAAGAAGCACCGGCUAACUACGUG
rnacentral:rRNA from 1 species